UACGGGGGGGGCAAGCGUUGUUCGGAAUUACUGGGCGUAAAGAGCGUGUAGGCGGCCAUACAGGUCAGCUGUGAAAACUCGAGGCUCAACCUCGAGACGUCGGUUGAAACCGUUUGGCUAGAGUCCGGAAGAGGAGAGUGGAAUUCCCGGUGUAGCGGUGAAAUGCGCAGAUAUCGGGAAGAACACCCGUGGCGAAGGCGGCUCUCUGGGACGGUACUGACGCUGAGACGCGAAAGCGUGGGGAGCGAACAGG
rnacentral:rRNA from 1 species